rnacentral:rRNA from 1 species
AGAGUUUGAUCAUGGCUCAGGACGAACGCUGGCGGCGUGCCUAAUACAUGCAAGUCGUACGCUUCUUUUUCCACCGGAGCUUGCUCCACCGGAAAAAGAAGAGUGGCGAACGGGUGAGUAACACGUGGGUAACCUGCCCAUCAGAAGGGGAUAACACUUGGAAACGGGUGCUAAUACCGUAUAACAAUCGAAACCGCAUGGUUUUGAUUUGAAAGGCGCUUUCGGGUGUCGCUGAUGGAUGGACCCGCGGUGCAUUAGCUAGUUGGUGAGGUAACGGCUCACCAAGGCCACGAUGCAUAGCCGACCUGAGAGGGUGAUCGGCCACAUUGGGACUGAGACACGGCCCAAACUCCUACGGGAGGCAGCAGUAGGGAAUCUUCGGCAAUGGACGAAAGUCUGACCGAGCAACGCCGCGUGAGUGAAGAAGGUUUUCGGAUCGUAAAACUCUGUUGUUAGAGAAGAACAAGGAUGAGAGUAACUGUUCAUCCCUUGACGGUAUCUAACCAGAAAGCCACGGCUAACUACGUGCCAGCAGCCGCGGUAAUACGUAGGUGGCAAGCGUUGUCCGGAUUUAUUGGGCGUAAAGCGAGCGCAGGCGGUUUCUUAAGUCUGAUGUGAAAGCCCCCGGCUCAACCGGGGAGGGUCAUUGGAAACUGGGAGACUUGAGUGCAGAAGAGGAGAGUGGAAUUCCAUGUGUAGCGGUGAAAUGCGUAGAUAUAUGGAGGAACACCAGUGGCGAAGGCGGCUCUCUGGUCUGUAACUGACGCUGAGGCUCGAAAGCGUGGGGAGCAAACAGGAUUAGAUACCCUGGUAGUCC